AUAGAAACCGUACUCCAAACCGACACAGGUGGUCAGGUAGAGAAUACCAAGGCGCUUGAGAGAACUCGGGUGAAGGAACUAGGCAAAAUAGCACCGUAACUUCGGGAGAAGGUGCGCUCUCUGAUGUGAAGGACUUGCUCCGUAAGCAUUAGGGAGUCGAAGUGACCAGGCCGCUGCAACUGUUUAUCAAAAACACAGCACUCUGCAAACACGAAAGUGGACGUAUAGGGUGUGACUCCUGCCCGGUGCCGGAAGGUUAAUUGAUGGGGUUAGCGCAAGCGAAGCUCUUGAUCGAAGCCCCGGUAAACGGCGGCCGUAACAAUAACGGUCCUAAGGUAGCGAAAUUCCUUGUCGGGUAAGUUCCGACCUGCACGAAUGGAGUAAUGAUGGCGGCGCUGUCUCCACCCGAGACUCAGUGAAAUUGAAAUCGCUGUGAAGAUGCAGUGUACCCGCGGCAAGACGGAAAGACCCCGUGAACCUUUACUAUAGCUUGGCACUGGACUCUGACACUAUCUGUGUAGGAUAGGUGGGAGACUUUGAAGCGUGGUCGCUAGACUGCGUGGAGUCAACCUUGAAAUACCACCCUGGUAUUGUCGGGGUUCUAACGCUGACCCGUCAUCCGGGUUGCGGACAGUGUCUGGUGGGUAGUUUGACUGGGGCGGUCUCCUCCCAAAGAGUAACGGAGGAGCACGAAGGUACCCUCAGCAUGGUCGGAAAUCAUGCAAUGAGCGCAAUGGUAGAAGGGUGCUUAACUGCGAGACCCACAAGUCGAGCAGGUACGAAAGUAGGUCAUAGUGAUCCGGUGGCUCUGUAUGGAAGGGCCAUCGCUCAACGGAUAAAAGGUACUCCGGGGAUAACAGGCUGAUUCCGCCCAAGAGUUCACAUCGACGGCGGAGUUUGGCACCUCGAUGUCGGCUCAUCACAUCCUGGGGCUGAAGCCGGUCCCAAGGGUAUGGCUGUUCGCCAUUUAAAGUGGUACGCGAGCUGGGUUCAGAACGUCGUGAGACAGUUCGGUCCCUAUCUGUCGUGGGCGUUGGAGAUUUGAGAAGAGUUGCUCCUAGUACGAGAGGACCGGAGUGAACGAACCUCUGGUGUUCGGGUUGUCACGCCAGUGGCAUUGCCCGGUAGCUAUGUUCGGACGGGAUAACCGCUGAAAGCAUCUAAGCGGGAAGCCUCCUUCAAGAUGAGAUCUCCCUGGGGCUUUAAGCUCCCUGAAGGGCCGUCGAAGACUACGACGUUGAUAGGUUGGGUGUGUAAGCGCUGCGAGGCGUUGAGCUAACCAAUACUAAUUGCCCGUGAGGCUUGACU
rnacentral:rRNA from 1 species